rnacentral:rRNA from 1 species
AAUCCAUAGGUUAAUGAGGCGAACCGGGGGAACUGAAACAUCUAAGUACCCCGAGGAAAAGAAAUCAACCGAGAUUCCCCCAGUAGCGGCGAGCGAACGGGGAGGAGCCCAGAGCCUGAAUCAGCAUGUGUGUUAGUGGAAGCGUCUGGAAAGGCGCGCGAUACAGGGUGACAGCCCCGUACACAAAAGCGCAUGUGCUGUGAGCUCGAUGAGUAGGGCGGGACACGUGGUAUCCUGUCUGAAUAUGGGGGGACCAUCCUCCAAGGCUAAAUACUCCUGACUGACCGAUAGUGAACCAGUACCGUGAGGGAAAGGCGAAAAGAACCCCGGCGAGGGGAGUGAAAAAGAACCUGAAACCGUGUACGUACAAGCAGUGGGAGCACCCUUUGGGGUGUGACUGCGUACCUUUUGUAUAAUGGGUCAGCGACUUAUAUUCUGUAGCAAGGUUAACCGAAUAGGGGAGCCGGAGGGAAACCGAGUCUUAAUUGGGCGUUAAGUUGCAGGGUAUAGACCCGAAACCCGGUGAUCUAGCCAUGGGCAGGUUGAAGGUUGGGUAACACUAACUGGAGGACCGAACCGACUAAUGUUGAAAAAUUAGCGGAUGACCUGUGGCUGGGGGUGAAAGGCCAAUCAAACCGGGAGAUAGCUGGUUCUCCCCGAAAGCUAUUUAGGUAGCGCCUCGUGAAUUCAUCUCCGGGGGUAGAGCACUGUUUCGGCUAGGGGGCCAUCCCGGCUUACCAACCCGAUGCAAACUGCGAAUACCGGAGAAUGUUAUCACGGGAGACACACGGCGGGUGCUAACGUCCGUCGUGAAGAGGGAAACAACCCAGACCGCCAGCUAAGGUCCCAAAGUCAUGGUUAAGUGGGAAACGAUGUGGGAAGGCCCAGACAGCCAGGAUGUUGGCUUAGAAGCAGCCAUCAUUUAAAGAAAGCGUAAUAGCUCACUGGUCGAGUCGGCCUGCGCGGAAGAUGUAACGGGGCUAAACCAUGCACCGAAGCUGCGGCAGCGAACGUAUCACUUAAAGCGAUUCAGCGGGUUACGAUUGACGGAGCGAAGCGACGUCAAAGCGUAUACAAAGUCGAGUCGGUUUAAGGAUACGUUCGUUGGGUAGGGGAGCGUUCUGUAAGCCUGUGAAGGUGGCCUGUGAGGGUUGCUGGAGGUAUCAGAAGUGCGAAUGCUGACAUAAGUAACGAUAAAGCGGGUGAAAAGCCCGCUCGCCGGAAGACCAAGGGU